ACCAGAUGCCUGUGUGUGUGUGUGUGUGUGUGUGUGUGUGUGUGUGCGCGCGCGCACGCGCUCAUGCACAGGCUUAGAAACCCUCA
rnacentral:miRNA from 1 species